rnacentral:rRNA from 1 species
AUUGAACGCUGGCGGCAGGCCUAACACAUGCAAGUCGAGCGAGCGGCGGACGGGUGAGUAAUGUAUGGGGACUGCCCGAUAGAGGGGGAUAACUACUGGAAACGGUGGCUAAUACCGCAUACUAUCGGAUAACCCAUAUGGGAUUAGCUAGUAGGUGGGGUAAAGGCUCACCUAGGCGACGAGCCCUAGCUGGUCUGAGAGGAUGAUCGGCCACACUGGGACUGAGACACGGCCCAGACUCCUACGGAGGCAGCAGUGGGGAAUAUUGCGCAAUGGACGAAAGCCUGAUCCAGCCAUGCCGCGUGUAUGAAGAAGGCCUUAGGGUUGUAAAAUUCUUUCAGCGGAGAGGCGUUACCCAACGAGAAAGCACCGGCUAACUACGUGCCAGCAGCCGCGGUAAUUC